rnacentral:rRNA from 1 species
GUGGGGAAUAUUGGGCAAUGGGCGAAAGCCUGACCCAGCAACGCCGCGUGAAGGAAGAAGGUUUUCGGAUUGUAAACUUCUGUCCUCAGGGAAGAAGAAAGUGACGGUACCUGAGGAGGAAGCCCCGGCUAACUACGUGCCAGCAGCCGCGGUAAUACGUAGGGGGCGAGCGUUGUCCUGAAUGACUGGGCGUAAAGGGCGCGUAGACGGCUGUCUAAGUCUGGAGUGAAAGUCCUGCUUUCAAGGUGGGAAUUGCUUUGGAGACUGGAUGGCUUGAGUGCGGAAGAGGUAAGUGGAAUUCCCAGUGUAGCGGUGAAAUGCGUAGAGAUUGGGAGGAACACCAGUGGCGAAGGCGACUUACUGGGCCGUAACUGACGUUGAUGCGCGAAAGCGUGGGGAGCGAACAGGAUUAGAAACCCGUGUAGUCC